UGUCCCCUUUGCUUGCUAAAGCAAGACGGGGAAUGAAGGCUUUCGCAGCCACAGUAAUGGAAACCGCUGCUGCAGAGUUAAAAUGCAAUUGUUGUUUAAUCCUGUGUGAAUUACAUAAAAUAUAAGCUGCUGAUACAGCACGUUAACUUCAGUAUAUUUGUCUGUCUUGAAACAGAGCCUCUUGAGACAUCAAACAUUUGGCAACUCUUCAACUGUCUAGAUAACUUGAAGACGCUUCCUGUUUAUGGCAGGGAGGAAGACAAAGGCAGCAGCUGCGUGGAGCCGCGCGCCUGGUGCCUCGGCGAAGGGUGACGUUUCGGGUGCCAUGUUUGGGGCGGCGUGUGGCCGGUGGCCUCGGCGAGCGGCGCGGCUGCCAGCACCGGGACCUGCACGCCGGGCGCAGGGCGAGGGCCGCAGCUGCGAGACAGCACCGCGAGCGCAGCAGCCAUUUUGCUUUGAUAAUCCCUGGUAAUGAGAUGGGUCUGUGGCUUGUGAAAUACAGGCUGCUCUCGGUGCCCUGGCUUCCCUUUUUCCUCCUACUAACUGCUGUGGUAUUUUUAUAUACUUAUCUUGUAUCAAAUGCUGUGUGCUAAAUUAACACGCUCUUCUCUGAUAUCAGGUUGUUUAUACGCGAAUUCUCCGAGCUCAGAAAGAUGGGGAAAUACAGUGUUGCCUAUAUCCAACCCCUUGCUCUAUGAUCACUAACGCAGUUUAAUUCACAUUAUUUAAUAUUCCUUUUAAACCUAACAAAUGACCCUUUCAUUACCUUAUUCUUUCUCAAAGCCUUUCUCCUAUGGAGAAGAGAAAGCAUCUAUGGAGAUACAUAGCUCAGGACAUAAAUUCUGCAACUUCCCACUGAAAAGGAGAGAGAUGGAAUAUUUCCUCAAAAUAAUAGUAUCUGAAAUAAAUUUGGUUCAGAUCUUGAAGUACAUUCACAUUUAUUUUCUUUUCUUUAUCUGAUUAUACUAUCUUUCUUGUUUUUAAGCAUACAUAAAAAUCCAUAGGGUACCAUGAGGAAGUUUAUUUUAAGCAGUAGUCUUAGCCUCUAAUUUCAUCAAAAUAUUUACUGCCUCAGGAAACAAGUGCAACAUUACUAUUAGCGCUUAUGAAGUGCUAACAAAUGUUUGCCUAAACAAAGAAGAAAGUAGUGUAAUUUUAUUUGGCCAGAAGCAUUUUAUUUGCUCCAAUAUAUUUGGUGUAUUUUGUCUAUAUAUUAUCUCUCCCUGAUUUUAAAUACAUUGCAAAGCCUGUUUCUCCAGGUACUUGUAAUCAUGAAACUUGGAGAAAAAUUGGGCUUUGAGUCAGGUGAGAAGCAUCCAUUUAGGCAAAAGGACGUUCUCCUUUUGUCUUAAAGUUUGGACUAAUUUUGACAAACAUUAAUCUGUAUUAAUUUUUACAAGUUACCAUGUAUGGACUGUUGCUGGACAGAUAUUUGUUUUAAAAUCUAAACCUAUGAGUUAGAAGCACUGAAUAGUAGGAACUGGUUCAUUUUAGACACAAAAUUUCCAGAAGCGUGAACCCUUUUGUCAUCAUCGCCGUUGGUAGGUUGGAAGCUACACGGUUGCUAGGACUCACUUCCCUGAUAAAUGCUGCUUAUCAUCUAAGGAAUAAUUUAAUAUCAACAUUAGAUAAACAGAUUCAUCUUAAGAAGGGAUGGUCUUUUUUCAGCAUAUUAUUUUGGAAUUUUGGCAUAUUAUUUUGGAAUUCUCAUAUGAUUUCCUGGUUGUUUGAAAGAUAUGGAAAUAUAUAUUUUUUCUUUUCAGGGGAUUGUCAGAAUUUCGUGACUAAUCUAAACUUCUCCCUCGUCCCACUGUUUUACACAAUCCAUAUUAAAAGUCCAGCUGAGAAAUAAUGAACAUGUCUGUGGAGAACUUCAUUAUCACUCCUGGAUUACUGAAAUUCCCAUCUAAAAGUUCCACUAUUGAAGCAAUGUAUAUCUUAACUUAGGACACCCUACUACCCAAAAGUGUUUUUUUUUCAUCUCACCACAAACUGAGGUGUUCUUAUCAGUAGCUGUUGGUAACCAAAUGUGGAACAAAUAGUUAAAGAACAAAAGCAAGAUUAUCACAACCUUCUUUUUGUUCCAAACUAUGUAACUGAGAAAGAGAGUUUCAUGAUCAUGUGUAGGUUACUUUUAAUCCUGGACUUUACUUAUUUACUGUUGUUUCUGUAUUGUUUUAGAUGUGCCUAUCGGUACAUAUUAAUGAAGACUU